rnacentral:rRNA from 1 species
UGGUCUGAGAGGACGACCAGCCACACUGGAACUGAGACACGGUCCAGACUCCUACGGGAGGCAGCAGUGGGGAAUUUUGGACAAUGGGCGCAAGCCUGAUCCAGCAAUGCCGCGUGAGUGAAGAAGGCCUUCGGGUUGUAAAGCUCUUUUGUCAGGGAAGAAACGGGUGAGGUUAAUACCUUUGCCUAAUGACGGUACCUGAAGAAUAAGCACCGGCUAACUACGUGCCAGCAGCCGCGGUAAUACGUAGGGUGCAAGCGUUAAUCGGAAUUACUGGGCGUAAAGCGUGCGCAGGCGGUUAUACAAGACAGAUGUGAAAUCCCCGGGCUCAACCUGGGAAUUGCAUUUGUGACUGUAUGGCUAGAGUGUGUCAGAGGGGGGUAGA